CUUGACUGUCGUUUUCUAGCCGCAAGUCUGCACGUGUUCGGCGACACGCGAUUAAUUUGGACUCGUUCGAUUACCACUGUGGGGUCUUUUUCGGAGUUGUCCGUCUGCUUCGACGAGCGCCGCGUGUCGUCUUCGGUACUGAGUACGUGUCAUGAUGACUGGAAGAGGGGAAACCUUUUUAUUCACGCUAGCUAACGGAGGAGCUAGCGUUAGCUGAGAGGGCACAACAGCAUGUUCAGACUCGUUCCACAGAGAGAUAGAGAAGGACUAUUUUAAAACCUAGCGGUACUUCACGAAUGACAGAUCCAAUGGAUUACCAGUUUCCACAGCAGCUUUUCCCCUCGUUUUACAACGGUGGACCGCCGGAAUUCGUCCUGAAACACUGCGCUGGGAACUGGGGCUGCUAUGACCGAGUCAUACCUCAGGGCAGCUCGGGUCCCCUCUCCAGCUGGACGUUUGCAUCCAGACACCAGGCCACAGGGGAGACGUGGCGUCACACGGAGCCGGUACCAGUUCCCCUCAUGUCGCCUAAAAACGGUUUUCUUUGGCCUUCGAAGCCCACUAAUCCGCUGGACUUCACAGAACAUAUGCAGAACUUCUUCUUGGACCACUGCAAGGACGCCUUCGGGUGCAUGGCUGAAAUUCUUGGCGAGACCUUCGAACAAGCACAGAAGGAAAGAGUCGGCAGACAGUCGGUGUACGAUGUGAGGAGCGACCUCGACAUGAAGAAGUUUAAAAUGUCCCCACUGUCGUACUCCUCCAAAUCCCUGCAUGCGUACAGCGCCCUGCUAUCGGACGUGGUGCCCGCCGUGCCUGUCGAGCUGCUGGGCUCCCUGCUGCACGAGGAGCUGACGGAGCAGAGGGACCGCUCUCUGUUCUCCGAGGGGGCCACGGGCGGUGCUCUGGCCUUCAUCCCCUUCCCUCGGGGCGGCGGUGACCCCCAGCGCGGCUGCCUCCUCUACCCGGGGAACCAGGGCCUGGACUGCCUCAACUUCCACAGAGUGGAGAUGCAGCACCGCAGGGGGAGCUCUUCCUGUGUGGACGCCGGCAGCAGCGACCCAUUCCGCUUCCAGCUGAAGGGCCCCGUCAGACAGAUCAGCUGCGCCUCCCUGUUCGAUGACUGUUGCGUUGCGGUGCGGUCCGAUCGGCUGUGUGGCAUUUGGAGGAUCGGUGAACAAAGCGCGCCUCGUCUGCUGCAAGUUGUCGACACCAGGGAGGUGGCGACCUGCGUCAGCGCCAGUCCUCAUGUGCUAGGUGAAGUUCUAGUGGUGACUGAGAGCGGGGCAGCAAACCUGUGGAGCGUCGGCAGAGGGAUGCAGAAGGUCCGAGAGGAAGAUGUAAACUUGUACUUCAACGCCAAGUCAUCAUGGCGAUGGUGCGAGUUCUCUGCCCACCCGAGGGUGAUGACGUAUGCAGACAGGACAGGGGUGGAGCUGACGGAUGUCCGGGAGAGUCCUGUCUUGAGUCACACUCUGUUUCAUAUCAGCAACACUCCGGAGUGUCGCAGUGGGGAGAGGCUCAUCCUGUCCAGAUACCUGGGAGACGUCCACACCUUCCAGCACCUCGUCACCACUCAGUACUCGGCCUACAUCAUGGACGAGCGGUUCCCCUGCUUGCCCAUGCUCAAGUGGGAUCACAUGAUGUUGUCCCCACCCAUGUUUUGUCAUGCUGUUUGCGGCUCCACCUCCCCUGGCUCUGCAGUGGGCGGGGUUAGGACCACCAAGGUGCUGCUGGGCUCACAAACCUCUCAAGAAAUCACACUGCUGCAGUACUCUGGAGGCAGAGCGGAGGCCUCUUCCAGUCGAGGUCCUCUCCAGGCGCUGCUCAGACCCCGAGACAGUCUGAAACACCUCCCUGUUCAGAUCCCUCACCGCCUGGACCUCUCCACCAGCAGGUUGUCCUCACCUGCUGCAGGUCUGACUUGUAUCCAGAAGACAGGAGGAAGAGGUGAUGGUGAGGAGUGCAUUUGUAUACUACAGCUGACCGAGGCGGGGGACAUUUUCUACCAGACCCUUGAGCCAGAGCAGCAGGACGCCUCUAAAUCUCCAGCAGCAGAGGACGAACCCGCUCUAAAAGAAGCAACAACUUCGGGGGGAGAAACGGCCCGGCGGCUCCGACUGCCACAAUCUCAGCCGGUUAUAUCAGACACGUCGAGCGACGAGGGCGUAAUCGGACCGACCCAGGACGCGGCUGUGCCAGUGUUUGUCACUGAAACGCCAGAGAAGGAGUGGCAAGCACUGGACGUGUACUCUGACUCUUCCUCAGAGGGCCCAGAGCCCCGAGGGAGAAGCCAUUUUCUGAAGCAGUAUGGGCUGCGGGUCGUCGUCAACGGCGAGCCAGAUCAAGUGAGCGGAUCAAGCCCGGGUUUGAAAAGCGGAGAGAGGGUUGGCGAUAACUUCGAGGAACCUGGCGGUGGUGGCGGCUUGGAUUGCGCUGCUGGUCCCACUGAGCAGACGGCACCAGUGAAGCUCAGUGUCGGCGCUAUUGCCACGUGGAAACGUUGGCUGCAAAAGAGCUGCGGGAAGAUGCCGCGUCCAUGCUGCCCGCAGCACCUCACAGUUAAAACCGUAGACCUCCUUCUAUCAGACAAAGAUGCAAGAGAUCCGACAGAGGAGGAGCGAGUGCGGAGCCUGAGACGCAACCUGAGAGCGUGCAUGUCCAAGCGCUCGCUGCUGGUCCACGGUGCCAUCUCCGCCCCCCUGCAGGCUCCAAGCGUAGUAGUGGUGCCGGACGCGGUGGACACAGAAGCCUGGAGGGACGAGGUCAGCCACCGCCUGACCCUCGCCUGGCAGGGUGAGGGGGCGUGGCGAGCGUGGUGGGAGGAGCGGCUCGGCCUGAACAGGGAGGAGAAGGUUAAGGCUCUGAGGAGGAAGAGGAAGAGGGAGAAGGAGGCGAAGAGAGCCACGGGCCAACGUCUGGAGCUGUCCGGUAGCUUCACCUCGUCUAUCAGCUACCAGUCGGAGCUGAGCGACUUCUCCGACUCAACGGGCAGGUCCUCCACGGCGGACCGGUGGGCGUCCUCGGACACCGAUGGCAAUCUGUCCCAGACGGAGGGCUUUUGGGAGAGUGAGAAGCUAAGGGCCACGACACCCACCACACCAUCCGCCACUCGCACUCACACCCCAGUUGCCACGCCGACCGGUGCUGAGCUCGAGCGAGGCAACCAGCAGACCCUCAGCAGCGCCCUCGAUCUGUCCCAGACCCCUAAUCGUGAAUCCGCACCGGUCAAUCAGAGGAGACCCAAGCGUCCAGCAGAGGACUACAUCAGUGCUCUGUUUGCACCACAGGAUGAUCCCUCGCAGCCCAACAGUUAUUUCUUGGAGGAGGAGGAGAGCACCCCGCACCACCCAGCUCUACCUCCACCCGUGACCCCAUCCUCCUUCCAGUGGAGCCUCAGGAUGGACCUGCCGCAGAACGCCUCGCUCCGGUCAUGUCUCUCCCAGAGCUCACAGGGUCGACAAGCGUCACAGCUCAAGAAAAAGAAGUCUCGAAUGGGAUUUUGAUCGUCACACAGAGAGGGGACAUCAUUGUUUGGCAUACAAACGUGUUCUUAAUAACACAAAAACAGGAGGCUGGACUCCAACUAAAAAGAAAUGUUUCUCUCUGCUCAUCGGCCUCUUCUGUUUGCCUCAUGGAUGUACAACAGCAUUAAUCCCUGGGAUUGUAUGUCCAAAACUGGCCCCAGAUGGUGGGGGAAAAGCGGACUGCAAGUCUAAGUGAUCUCCAAGGAUGUCUGGCCGAAGAACUGCAGACCAGUUUGGUUCUAUGAAGGCGAGGCCCUCUGGUGACAUCAUGGAAACGUCUGUGGGACACAACCAGAGACAUGCACACCCCAUCAUGCAGUGCUAGGAGAUAUGAGAGGCCCUGGCAAGCUGAGAGGGCCGGGCUCUCUCCGUUUGGGUGUGUGUGUGCUGUCAUCAGAAAAGUGUGUGUUGCCCCAGAGGACUGUUACUACACAAACACGCACUGUGAAAGAUGCCUCAUUUAACCUGUUGUGACUCAGCAAAGUCCUUGUUUCACUUCCAGCCUUUUCAUUUCUGUUUAACUUUUAGACUACGGGAUUGACUUCUUGCAAUGUUUUUAUUGGUGUGUGCGUGACACAAGGUGUGUUGGGUUCCUUUUAAAUUGGAAUGCCUCUGUUCUUGUCUUCAGGAGUGUUUGAUAUUUAACAUAUCAGGCUGACAUCUGCGUAAAUUAAAUUGAAUCAAUUGCUGUGAGCAUUGCCUCUGACCGCGUUGGUAUUCGCUUAGGUGUUGUUCCUGGUGGGCCGGCCUCCUGCCUCCGUGGCCCUGCCUCCUGCCAUGUUGAUGCCCCCCGCCCCCCUCUUCUCCUGUUUCAUAGAUUGUGGAAAUCUGGAUCAUGGUCCAUGCCUACUAAUCAUUCAUAAAUUUCUGUCACUCAUUGAAUGUGUUUACAUUAUACAUGUCAUGUGUUCAUCUGUACACAUGACAUCUAUUGCUUCUGUCCAUCCGGGGAGAGGA